GAUGACUUCAUGAGGUGCCACCUCAGCAAUUGGGACAACACACUCAUUGACAUUCAACAAAAAACCAAAGAGAUGGCAUUUUUGUCAUCGCUUAACCAAAUUGCAAGUAUUGAAUGGGAGUCAAUGUCUGGGGAAUUCAUGCCUGAAUUCUUUAAGCUGGUGUUGGGAACCCUUUCUCUGCCUAUCAACUUUCCCGGAACAAAUUACCACCGCGGUUUCCAAGCAAGAAAACAUUGUUAGCAUGCUGAGACAACUCGUAGAGGAAAAGAAGAGCUUG